CCUACGGGAGGCUGCAGUGGGGAAUAUUGCACAAUGGGCGAAAGCCUGAUGCAGCGACGCCGCGUGAGCGAAGAAGUAUUUCGGUAUGUAAAGCUCUAUCAGCAGGGAAGAAAAUGACGGUACCUGACUAAGAAGCCCCGGCUAACUACGUGCCAGCAGCCGCGGUAAUACGUAGGGGGCAAGCGUUAUCCGGAUUUACUGGGUGUAAAGGGAGCGUAGGCGGCAAGGCAAGUCUGAUGUGAAAACCCGGGGCUCAACCCCGGGACUGCAUUGGAAACUGCUUAGCUAGAGUGUCGGAGAGGUAAGUGGAAUUCCUAGUGUAGCGGUGAAAUGCGUAGAUAUUAGGAGGAACACCAGUGGCGAAGGCGACUUACUGGACGAUAACUGACGCUGAGGCUCGAAAGCGUGGGGAGCAAACAGGCUUAGAUACCCCGGUAGUC
rnacentral:rRNA from 1 species